AGCUGACUCCUUCAGGCACUGUGCUAGAAGCCCCAUGCCAAGAGAUGGAGGACCCUGCCCGAGUGCAUCCCAGCAAGGAGAUGAAAGCCUCACCCAGGUGCUGCAGGAGGUGCCUCUCUACACCUGGUGGCCUGGAGGUGAGAUGGCUGCUUUCUCCCUGCAGGGAGCAAAUGCCUGGCCCAGGAUCGGAUCAAAAGCUGGGGCUCACUGCCCCCAGUGGGCAGUGAGUCAGCGGGUUCCUGAGGCAGCUCUGUCCUGUCCCAGCAUGGCCACCCUCCUGGCUGACCUUGGAGAAUCAGUAUUCCAGCAUCCAUGGCCUUCUAGAAUCUGCUUGGAGGAAAUAAAGAUCAACGCCAUUCUUUACAAUAGCACCUUGGUACCCUCUGAUCCAUAUACCCGGGAUUUAUUUAACUAUCUCACUGCUGCCACAAAACCUGAGGUUCUAUGCCCCCCCCAACCCCCGCCCCCGCGGGAUUGGAUUGCGGAGGCAGGUAAGCCCCCAUCUCCACCGUGUGCUGGGUCUGACUUCCCCUCACUGAGACCAGGUCAUGUUCUCUUUGGGUCUGAUGGGCCGUGGCAGAGGGUCGUGUUUCCUGCCCUGUGGUGCUGGAUGAGAGGACUUUGAGAAGUCAGUGGCUUGUUCAAGUUCUGCUAGGACACGGGACCCAGGGUUCCAACCCAGAUAGACUUCCUCCGAACAGAGUUGCUGGUGAAAUUCCUCACUUCUGUGAUGCCUCUUGGUGUAUUGACUGGCUCAGAUGGCCGUGGGACAACAGGACCUGGACCUAGCCCCUGGGAAAGAGUGCAGGACGGUUGUGAGGAUCAAGCAGGAUAAUGUAUGCUAACCCAUGCUGUGAACGCUGCGUGCUGGGUGCAGAGAAUGGUGGAGGCCCCACAGUGGGUGUGAUGCCACUUUACCAACAGCGACCUUGGAGGUGACCUCUGUGGAAAGUGCCAUGGACCAGCCAAUUGCUGGAAAUUGAACCCAGGGCCUGAGUACUGCCUAGGUCAGCACUCUACCACUGAGUCAAAUCCCCAGCCCUAUUUCAUGAUUUUUAAGGGAUAAAUAAAUUUGAAAAGGGCUAAGCACAGACCAAUGAGGCUAAUAUUUAAUAACCCAAGGCCUAUUAAUUUAACUCUACACAAGUGAGUGCCACUAAAAACAAUCCAGGGUGUUUAAGUUUUCUAAUAGCUGCUUCUUGUUGGACAGAAAGGACACAUACUAGUUUAAUCAUGCAUCAUUUAUGAGGACUUUGACUCUUAUUUGGGUAGGUUAGGUUCAUAAAGAAAAUGUAAGUAAUAGUUGGUGUUUUGAAAUCUUUGAUUGGACAGUUGUUCAAAGGUGUUCAGAAAUAAGUAAAUGAAUGAGUGAAGAAAUCAAUGAAGAAAUUGAGAGAAAGAAAAAUGGGAUAACGAUGAUCAAAUCUUACUUUAGUGAGAUUGAACGUGAGUUUAACUUAGAUUAGAAACAGGGCUCAGUCACGGUUAUGGGUUGGAUAUGUGGUGUCCCCCAAAAGCUCACAUGUUAGACAAUGCAGGAAUGUUCAGAGGUGAAAAGAUUAGCUUAUGAGCACUGUAACUUAAUCAGUGGAAUUAACCCACCUAGGUGGAUUAAUUAUGUGGAUUAACUAUAGGCAGGUAGGGUGUAGCUGGAGGAGGUGGGUCACUGGGUGUGACUUUGGGGUAUACAUUUUGUCCCUGGUAACUGGGGUUCUCUUUGUUUCCUGGUUGUCAUGUCCUGAGCUGCUCGCCUCUGCCACAGCUAUCUGUCACAAUGUCCUGCCUCACCCCGGACCUGCGGCUAAGGAGUCGGCUGACCAUGGAGUGACCUUGAAAACUAUCCAAGGUACCAAAUCUGAUUUAUUUAUUAUCCAUUGUUGAAAACCGUGGCUGUGGUUUCUGUGGCUGAGGAGCAACGGGACUCGGGAAGAAAAAAGAAAUCUAGACUUAUCCUACUUUGGAAAAAAUGCCAAAAAUCAGCAGUUGCAUGAAGUGGUAUUUCAAUCCUGAACUACUGGGACCAGAGCAGAGUGGCUUAUUCCCGAGAAACAAAGCCUGGGUGGUUGGCUUUGUGGGUAACGAACAUAGAGAACAAUAGUGAACACCAGGCAGCUGAUUUAAUCAUUUAAUCAAGAAUUAUUGUCCUGAAUGAGGAGCAGAGAUGCUGAUAAAGCAUUCCCACAUGUGUGGAGAUCCGGGCUGGUACUGCCUUUGGGACCGUCCACAAGAACAUGGAUGAUCUGUGAACACAGUCACCUAUUCAAUCACUGCUUCCUGUGAAGACCUGGCCUUUCCUCUCUUUGGAUAAGAAGAUGUCAACCACCUUGGAUUUGGUCAUUCUCCAUGAUGAAGACCUUGACAGUUGCUUCCAUGGAAUGAAGACCACAGCUGAUUUAUUUAGUCUCGGCUGUCGAAGAUCUUAGCUGUUGCCUUUGUGAGUAAGAAACCUGAUGACUAAAAAUGGAUGCACAGAGAUACGGUCUUUCUCUAGCGAGGAAGGUUUUGGUUGUUAUCCUUUUGAGUAAUGAGGUUAGAAAUCUAUCCUAAACGCCUGACAGCUGGUUCAUCAGCCUCUGGUGAUAGAGGCUUGGAUAUGCGCCAGUGUGACGUGGAGUGCAGAGGCUGACCCCGGGAACUGUCAACAUUCUCCCAUCCGAACACAGGCCCCGGUCAUGAGGUGCUGAGUUAGAGAGUUGUGAUUUUUAUCAUCGAAAAAGGUGUUCCCAAGAUGGUGUUCCCAAGAUGGUGACUGAAUUCUUCUGUAGUCAUGAGGUUUGUGGUCACUGCCAUGUUGUUCACCACAUAGGAACCAAUGUAAGUUGAGUCAAAUUGCUUGUCCUGGAGCGUGUGGUAUUCAAAUAUAUUGGUGAUAUGAUAAAUGGAUUACAUACAAUCUGAACAUAGCAAAUGUGGCUGGAUGACAAAUAUGGCAGGAACAUGAAAUAUUAUAUUGAUUAAUCAUCAUUUAUACAGAUAACAUUGGUUAAGGAGAGAGGCAUGCACUUUGGAGAAAGAUCUUACAGUGGGCAAUGCCCUGUUCCUAAGGAUCUUGUUCUCAGAGAUUUGUGACUCAUAGUCACAUAAAUACUUUCAGUGAGAAGAUGAAUUGGUCACUAAGCAGCGGUAGAUAUUAUUGCAAAAAGAAGAGAUAAAGUUGGAUCAAUGAUGACCACUGGUGGCAUAUGAGUCAUGGAUGAUGACUGCAGGUCUGGAUAUCUGAGGUCCAAUAUAGAUGACACCUAGUAGAUACUGGGUGAUGUUUGGUAUAGAUGUUAGGAAGAGUCAAAGAUGUUUUUCUUUGUCUCUGGAUUCCUUUUUUCUUUUAAAAUAUUUUUAGUUGUACAUGGACACAAUAUCUUUUUUUAAAAUUUUUAAUGUGGUGCUGAGAAUUAAACCCAGUGCCUGACAUGUGCUAGGCAAGUGCUUUACUACUGAGCCACAACCCCAAACCCUGUCUCUGGAUUCUUAAAUGACUAAAUACAAUGAAACAAAUGCAUGGAGUAACAGUGUCUUUAAAAUCUGUUGUACUUUGUACUCUUCGGAAUGAGGGUUCCAAAGAUGACCAGAGUUGCAAGGUCCAUGGAUCUUUCUUGUGUUCUUGGAGAAGAGACCAAUAGUGGACACUCUCAGAUGAUGGAAGCAUUCUUCUCUGGCCCUGUGAUGUAGAGUUCCCUGUGUGUGUUAGGAACAGUGGGUGCUCCCGAGAUGUUGACGGCAUUCUUCUCUGGCUACAAGGUCGGGGGAUCCUGCUUACGUUCACAGUAUAGAGAUUAAUAUGAUGGAAGCAUUCUUCUCUGGCCCUGUGAUGUAGAGUUCCCUGUGUGUGUUAGGAGUAUUGUGAGAAAGAACAGAUGCACUCUAUUUGAUUGAUGGAUUUCUGAAGUUGCCUGUCUUAUUGGGGAACUGAUAGAAAUGUGACCUGCAUGGACCAGUAGAGAUAAGGUGUCAGUUUUGCUUCUGUGGUUUGUUCUGCUUUUCGUUUCCCUGAAGGAGACCCCUGGGCUGUGUUGAGCAUUCUGCCUCCAUUGUGGGUGCAAAGGUUGCCUAUCUGGGUAGGAGCCUGGGCAGCAAGAGUGGACACCCCCCGACUGAUCAAAGCACCUGGCCCCGACGGUGACCUCUGUGGCAGACCCUGGGUGCGGGAGCAUAAAGAUCAACAUGUGGUCGUCAGUUACCAUCUUUGGGAAGUUUGUUUAUUUUGUUUGGAACAUUCAAAGUUAAUAAAAGAAGUACAUUUAAAGUAAAAAGAACAAUUGUUGUCAAAAAAAAAUGGGGGGGGGAUUAACAUGAAACGUUGUGUUGAUGAAUCAUUCUUCUGGCGAUCAGGAUGAUUGAAGUGCGGCCAUGGAUUCUGGAGACAUUUCUGUGGACACUUGAAUCAUCAUAUUUAAUACAUCCGUGAAACACUGAGA